rnacentral:tRNA from 1 species
AGAGCAGCUGAUUUGUAAUCAGCAGGUCGUGGGUUCGAGUCCCUCCGCCGGCU